UUCUUUAAGAUGGUAAUUUAAAGUAAUAUCUGCCCACUGAGUUAUUUAAAGGGCUGCAGUAUUUUGACUGUACUAAGGUAGCAUAAUCAUUAGUCUCUUAAUUAGAGAAUGGAAUGAAUGAUUUAACCAUAAAUUGUUUUAUUAGUUUUAUAUAUUGAAUUUAGAAUAAAAGUGAAAAUACUUUUAUAUUUCUAUUAGACGAUAAGACCCUAUAGAUCUUUAUUUUAUUUAAAUAUAAUUUUUUGGGGGAAAAAUUAUAUUUAAAUAAAAUUUAGCUGGGGUAGUUAAAGAAUAUAAAAAAUUUCUUUAUAUAAAAUUUAUUAAAAUUUAAUUAAUCUUGAAGAUAAAAUUAAAAAGAUACCUUAGGGAUAACAGCGUAAUAAAUUUUAAGAGUUCAUAUCGAUAAAUUUGUUUGCGACCUCGAUGUUGAAUUAAGAUACCUUUUUGGGGCAGUACUUUAAAUAGGUGGUUUGUUCAACCAUUAAAUUCUUACA
rnacentral:rRNA from 1 species